GGGGAAUUAGCUCAGUUGGUAGAGUAUUUGCAUGGCAUGCAAAGGGUCACCGGUUCGAAUCCGGUAUUCUCCA
rnacentral:tRNA from 1 species